UGGUUCUGGCAUCGAUGAAGAACGCAGCGAAAUGCGAUAAGUAAUGUGAAUUGCAGAAUUCCAGUGAAUCAUCGAAUCUUUGAACGCACAUUGCGCCCAUUAGUAUUCUAGUGGGCAUGCCUGUUCGAGCGUCAUUUCAACCCUCAAGCUCUGCUUGGUGUUGGGGGAGUCUUACCUGGUAAAACCCCCCGAAAAAUAUUGGCGGUGCUCGCCGGUACUCCAUGCGCAGUAAUUUUCAACUUCGUAUGGGCGCCGGCGGUGCCACGCCUGCCACGAAAAAACAAGAUUGUACGGUUGACCUCGGAUCAGGUAGGGAUACCCGCUGA
rnacentral:misc_RNA from 1 species